CGUAGGGGGCAAGCGUUGUCCGGAUUUAUUGGGCGUAAAGAGCUCGUAGGUGGCUUGUUGCGUCUGCCGUGAAAGCCCGUGGCUUAACUGCGGGUCUGCGGUGGAUACGGGCAGGCUAGAGGCUGGUAGGGGCAAGCGGAAUUCCUGGUGUAGCGGUGAAAUGCGCAGAUAUCAGGAGGAACACCGGUGGCGAAGGCGGCUUGCUGGGCCAGUUCUGACGCUGAGGAGCGAAAGCGUGGGGAGCGAACAGGAUUAGAUACCCUGGUAGUCCACGCUGUAAACGUUGGGCGCUAGGUGUGGGGGUCUUCCACGAUUCCUGUGCCGUAGCUAACGCAUUAAGCGCCCCGCCUGGGGAGUACGGCCGCAAGGCUA
rnacentral:rRNA from 1 species